rnacentral:rRNA from 2 species
UUGACCUCAAAUCAGGAG